GAUAUGGUGAUGACCAAUCUUCUUAGCCCUCUCUUGACCUUGAGAGAUGGCUCAGCACCAUCGAGGGAUCUGGAGCGAUGCCCACGUGAAGCGCAGAGGCUUUUGAGCCAAUGACCUCACAGCCUCCUGGAUGCCAUCCACGAUACGAUCGUGGAGCUUCUCCAGAAUCUGCAGCUGCAUGACUGGAUGUUGGGAUGUCCGGCUCUCAUCCACCAGUUGCUAGAAAAGAGUGGGAGGAGGAAGAGGUGGAUGACAAUGAGCAU